GCGGAAACAGGAAUCUCCGGCUUGCGGCGUGUCAGCCGUUCCCAUGGUUACACGUGGAGGCGGGGUUUCUAGUAGCCUGGGCUUAAGGGGAUUCGUACUGGAACGUGAGGUGGUGCCUGUAAAGGCUUUGUGGUUCUGAUUAGGAUUCUAAACAUGAGCAAAACAUCCAGCAAACCCAAUCUGAAGGACAUUCUACAAAGCACCUGAUGAGUGUGCCUCGACACUCAAGGCCAACAAAGCAAGAGAAGACCCAGAAACCCCCAGAGAACCAUGGAGACGUGAUGACAAUGAAAUGUGGUGUCCUAGAGUGGCGCCCACAGCAGUAAAGGACACUUCCCCCACAGGAAUCUCCUGAACAAACUAUGUGAAUAAGAUGGCAUCUACAAGAAGAUCACCAGGAGUGGACAAGCCUGCACAUGAUGGGGAUUACGACAACCCUGACCCCCAUCUCAGUGAUUAACUGAGAUUCUUUCCUUGUUUCCCUUUAAAAAAUUUCAAGGCCAGGCAGAAUCUUUGCAGGCUGUUUCUGAGGGACGCUGAGUCUGCCGUCUCCCCAGAUUGCUGGCAUUCUGAUUAAAGACACCUUUCCUUUCUACCAUUUGUAUUGAUUUUGUAAGUGACUAGCAUUGAGACCCCCUAUUCAAUAACAAUAAUUUAAACUUACAACAUCUAUAAUUAUGCAUAAGUUAUCUAUAAUGUUUCUUUUGCAUUCCUAAUUUCGCUAAUUCAUGAUCUCUCUGUUUUUCCUUGAUUAGUCUUGCUGGAGAUUUAUAAAUAGUACUCAUCUUUUUAAGAAACUUGAUUUCAGUUUUGU
ensembl:lncRNA